rnacentral:piRNA from 1 species
UCUCCAUAGUGUGUUGGGCCCAAGAUG